AUACGGAGGGUGCAAGCGUUAUCCGGAUUCAUUGGGUUUAAAGGGUGCGCAGGCGGAUAUUUAAGUCAGUGGUGAAAUCCCGGGGCUCAACCUCGGAACUGCCAUUGAUACUGAAUAUCUGGAAUACGGUUGAAGUGGGCGGAAUGUAGCAUGUAGCGGUGAAAUGCAUAGAGAUGCUACAGAACACCGAUCGCGAAGGCAGCUCACUAAGCCGAUAUUGACGCUCAGGCACGAAAGCGUGGGGAGCGAACAGAAUUAGAAACCCUAGUAGUCC
rnacentral:rRNA from 1 species